rnacentral:lncRNA from 1 species
UUGGUGGUCCCUUUUAUUAUUCUACGCUACUCACUUCCACACACAUCCAUAAAAAUGUACUGACACAAAUUUCGUUUUUCUAAAAUUUUGAACUCUUAUAUAUUUCCCCAAGCUCAAAAGUGAUAUUUGAAUCUUAAAAUUGGACCCAACACAUGCAUAGUUUAUUAAAAUUUUCAACCAUGUAUAAUUUUAAGUCAAAAAAUAGGCUUAUUCAAUCUCAUCACAGGCUGUUCAGCAGUUAGGAUCACGCUAUAGAUGCAGUUCUUGUCUCUGUCCCGUUGGGUUCGAGACUAGGACAUUCCGUACCAUGUUUCUCAAUUUAAAAAGAAUCUCAACCUAGCCCCCAAUUCUUAGCUCCCGUUUGGCUAUAAAAUUUAGGAGUUCUUUUCUCAAAUUUCGUUUUCAAAUAUCUAUUUUUUUUAUAAAUUUUAACUAUUUUUUGGCAAAUUUUGAAGAAAAAAUCUUUAAAUCCCAAAAAAAAAACUCUACAGAAUUUUUUGAAGUUCUCUACUCACGAAAUUUCAAAAUUUUUCCAAAUAAAAUACAUAUCUCAACGCAAUCUCAUUCCUAUGUUUUAGCAAUCAGCCUAGAAGAUGUUGAUCUAGAUGAGUGCUUUACCAGAGUCUUCAAAUUAAGUCAAACACUCAUUGCUUUUCAUCUCUGUGAAGGACCCCCCUAAUUGCGACCCUAAAAACUAACUCAUGAGGCGAAGAGUUGUAGAACACUUAUAUCUUGCCAUAUUCUCCCUCAUUUGUUUGAUGUGGGAGGGCGUCACACCCGCACCAACCUAAACGACAACGCCCUUGCUAUCGUCAGUUGCCCGACUCGAGUACAAGCUUACAAUAGUGGUCGACACGAGGCGAGACUGGCUCUCAUAUCACUGUGUCACAAUGCAAUGAAGAUCUAGUGAAGAUGAUCACUUUCAAUAGUAUCUCUAGCUAACAGCUAGAUAAAGUAGCCAGGUUAAGACUUUGAGAUCAAAAGUUUACAUGUUACCUCUACCAAAUAUUUUUUUUUUCCAAGUUAAAUGAUCCUUUACAGUCCCAUUAUAUAGCACUCAUUAUAAAUUUUUCUUUUCAUCAUUGAACACUAUGAUACAUCCUCAAUAUUUUG